AUUGAACGCUAGCGGGAUGCCUUACACAUGCAAGUCGAACGGCAGCACGGACUUCGGUCUGGUGGCGAGUGGCGAACGGGUGAGUAAUGUAUCGGAACGUGCCUAGUAGCGGGGGAUAACUACGCGAAAGCGUAGCUAAUACCGCAUACGCCCUACGGGGGAAAGCAGGGGAUCGCAAGACCUUGCACUAUUAGAGCGGCCGAUAUCGGAUUAGCUAGUUGGUGGGGUAACGGCUCACCAAGGCGACGAUCCGUAGCUGGUUUGAGAGGACGACCAGCCACACUGGGACUGAGACACGGCCCAGACUCCUACGGGAGGCAGCAGUGGGGAAUUUUGGACAAUGGGGGAAACCCUGAUCCAGCCAUCCCGCGUGUGCGAUGAAGGCCUUCGGGUUGUAAAGCACUUUUGGCAGGAAAGAAACGUCAUGGGCUAAUACCCCGGAAACUGACGGACUGCAGAAUA
rnacentral:rRNA from 1 species